rnacentral:rRNA from 1 species
UGGAGAAAAGCAGGGGAUCGUAAGACCUUGCGCUUUUGGAGCGGCCGAUGCCUGAUUAGCUAGUUGGUGGGGUAAAGGCUUACCAAGGCAACGAUCAGUAGUUGGUCUGAGAGGACGGCCAGCCACACUGGGACUGAGACACGGCCCAGACUCCUACGGGAGGCAGCAGUGGGGAAUUUUGGACAAUGGGCGCAAGCCUGAUCCAGCAACGCCGCGUGAGUGAAGAAGGCCUUCGGGUUGUAAAGCUCUUUCAGUCGAGAAGAAAAGAUUGUGACGAAUAAUCACAAUUCAUGACGGUAUCGACAGAAGAAGCACCGGCUAACUACGUGCCAGCAGCCGCGGUAAUACGUAGGGUGCAAGCGUUAAUCGGAAUUACUGGGCGUAAAGGGUGCGCAGGCGGCUUUGUAAGUCAGAUGUGA